rnacentral:rRNA from 1 species
CCUACGGGUGGCAGCAGUGAGGAAUAUUGGUCAAUGGACGAGAGUCUGAACCAGCCAAGUAGCGUGAAGGAUGACUGCCCUAUGGGUUGUAAACUUCUUUUAUAUGGGAAUAAAAUGUUCCACGUGUGGGAUUUUGUAUGUACCAUAUGAAUAAGGAUCGGCUAACUCCGUGCCAGCAGCCGCGGUAAUACGGAGGAUCCGAGCGUUAUCCGGAUUUAUUGGGUUUAAAGGGAGCGUAGGUGGAUUGUUAAGUCAGUUGUGAAAGUUUGCGGCUUAACCCUAAAAUUGCAGUUGAAACUGGCAGUCUUGAGUACAGUAGAGGUGGGCGGAAUUCGUGGUGUAGCGGUGAAAUGCUUAGAUAUCACGAAGAACUCCGAUUGCGAAGGCAGCUUACUGGACUGCAACUGACACUGAGGCUCGAAAGUGUGGGUAUCAAACAGGAUUAGAUACCCCAGUAGUC